GGCAGCGUAGCUCAGAGGAAGAGCAGGGGACUCAUAAGCCCUUGGUCGCUGGUUCAAUUCCAGCCGCUGCCA
rnacentral:tRNA from 1 species